AUUGAACGCUGGCGGCAUGCUUUACACAUGCAAGUCGAACGGCAGCGCGGGCUUCGGCCUGGCGGCGAGUGGCGAACGGGUGAGUAAUACAUCGGAACGUGCCCAGUAGUGGGGGAUAGCACGGCGAAAGCCGGAUUAAUACCGCAUACGACCUGAGGGUGAAAGCGGGGGAUCUUCGGACCUCGCGCUAUUGGAGCGGCCGAUGGCAGAUUAGCUAGUUGGUGGGGUAAAGGCCUACCAAGGCGACGAUCUGUAGCUGGUCUGAGAGGACGACCAGCCACACUGGGACUGAGACACGGCCCAGACUCCUACGGGAGGCAGCAGUGGGGAAUUUUGGACAAUGGGCGAAAGCCUGAUCCAGCAAUGCCGCGUGUGUGAUGAAGGCCUUCGGGUUGUAAAGCACUUUUGGCGGGAACGAAAAGGACUGUGCCAAUACCACGGUUCGAUGACGGUACCCGCAGAAUAAGCACCGGCUAACUACGUG
rnacentral:rRNA from 1 species